rnacentral:rRNA from 1 species
AUACGUAGGUGGCAAGCGUUGUCCGGAUUUAUUGGGCGUAAAGCGAGCGCAGGCGGUUUCUUAAGUCUGAUGUGAAAGCCCCCGGCUCAACCGGGGAGGGUCAUCGGAAACUGGGAAACUUGAGUGCAGAAGAGGAGAGUGGAAUUCCAUGUGUAGCGGUGAAAUGCGUAGAUAUAUGGAGGAACACCAGUGGCGAAGGCGGCUCUCUGGUCUGUAACUGACGCUGAGGCUCGAAAGCGUGGGGAGCAAACAGGAUUAGAUACCCUGGUAGUCCACGCCGUAAACGAUGAGUGCUAAGUGUUGGAGGGUUUCCGCCCUUCAGUGCUGCAGCUAACGCAAUAAGUAUCCCGCCUGGGGAGUAUGCACGCAAGUGUGAA